rnacentral:lncRNA from 1 species
GGCCUACAGCAUUACUAGCAACAAACGUGUUCUUCCUUUGGUGAACUGAAUGAGGCACCAGGAUACACAUGAACUGCCACUGGACAUGAACUGCACACAAUAAGAACCCGGCAUUGAAAACGGGCUGGCUGCCCUUCAGAAGUGACAGUGUCCUGAAGCGGGGUGAUGAUGGCAGGUGGAUAAACAGGCAUUUCCUGAUCAGGAGACACAACUUCUGGAACUAAAGAAAGAAACCACAAGAUUUGUCAUGAUUAAGUCACCAUAGAGACCUCACAGAAGGGAGCAUGUAGGUUUAUCUUAAUUUAUUUC